rnacentral:rRNA from 1 species
GGUGAACCUGCGGAAGGAUCAUUACCGAGUUGAUUCGAGCUCCGGCUCGACUCUCCCACCCUUUGUGUACCUACCUCUGUUGCUUUGGCGGGCCCGCGGUUCGGCCUCGUGCCGUCCAGCACCCGCCAGAGGACCACAAAACUCCAGUCAGUGAACGUCUCAGUCUGAAAAACAAGUUAAUAAACUAAAACUUUCAACAACGGAUCUCUUGGUUCUGGCAUCGAUGAAGAACGCAGCGAAAUGCGAUAAGUAAUGUGAAUUGCAGAAUUCAGUGAAUCAUCGAAUCUUUGAACGCACAUUGCGCCCCUUGGUAUUCCGGGGGGCAUGCCUGUUCGAGCGUCAUUUCAACCCUCAAGCUCUGCUUGGUAUUGGGCUCCGUCCUCAGGGACGCGCCUCAAAGACCUCGGCGGUGGCGUCUUGCCUCAAGCGUAGUAGAAAACACCUCGCUUUGGAGCGCACGGCGUCGCCCGCCGGACGAACCUUUGAAUUUUUCUCAAGGUUGACCUCGGAUCAGGUAGGGAU